rnacentral:rRNA from 1 species
UACGUAGGCAGCGAGCGUUGUUCGGAGUUACUGGGCGUAAAGAGUGCGUAGGCGGUUUUCUAAGUUUGGUGUGAAAUCUCCCGGCUUAACUGGGAGGGUGCGCCGAAAACUGGAAGGCUUGAGUAUGGGAGAGGUAAGCGGAAUUCCUGGUGUAGCGGUGAAAUGCGUAGAUAUCAGGAGGAACACCUGCGGUGAAGACGGCUUACUGGACCAUAACUGACGCUGAGGCACGAAAGCGUGGGUAGCAAACAGG